UAUUGUUGGAAAAGGGUUCACACAACCCUUUUAAGGUCUUUAAGAUUACUAUAUGCCAUCUUUUGACUUUCUCCCUCCCUCUUUUGUUAGUUUUUCAUAUCUCUUUAUCCCCUUAACAUUAUAUCCAUAAGUCAGUGGAGCUUUGUUAGUUUUAUUUAUAGAUUUAUUUAUUUUUGCUGUUGUUGUUGUUGAAAUAUAUAUAAAAUUAAGAUGAAUCUUCCUUUCGAAUUCUGCAAACCCUCUAGCUCCUUCAUCUGUGUUGGGCACACCCACCUUUUAUUGUUGUAGUUUUCUGUCUUUUUUUUUAUUUUUUUUAUUUUAUCAGGGAAUUAGUUUUAGUAUGAAAAAUCUUUUCUCCUAACAUCAAUGCACAAUUUUUUGUUGAGUUGGAGUGUUGUAGAGAAAUUAUCAAUUCAUGUAAGGUUGAUGUUUUUAUUCUUAAUGCUUUGUACAUGUGACGGAGGCAUCAGAAUCUGGUGAGGAGAAUAGUUCUAAAGGCUCCAUCAAUAGAGGGAAUGGAAGGUGAGGGAGAGAUUAAUCGAAUGAUCAAAUUUUUGGUUGAGGAAAAAGUUCCCCUUUGCUAAACUUUUGAACUGGGAUAUCCAUGAAGGUUAUCAAAGAAAGAGCAUUUUUCUUG